ensembl:ncRNA lncRNA:CR46299 long non-coding RNA:CR46299
GUUUUAAGAUCACCGUUCUUGCAUCCUGAAUAUUAAACUUAUUUUUAUAUUACACCAAAGUAAAUUAAAUAUAUAUAAAAUGUAUACCAGCACUUUUAUAAUAUUUUGGAUAUUAGGAGUUGCAAGCCCAAUUCUGAUACCUCCGUUCUGUAAGGUUGCUAAACAUUUUUUAUACCUAUACCAACUAAUAAAAUUACAGGUGACCUGCUAGUAGUAGAUGCACCUUUAAAAUGCUACAAUGCCACUGAUUGUGAUUCUUAUAGAGAGUGCCUACGUCAGAAAUAAAUAUAUUAGUAAAUGGAUGUGCAUGGCUAUGAUGUUUCGAAGACCUCCCAAAUAAAAUCAGUUGUCAGCUACAUAUAUAGUACAUAUAUAGUAUAGAUAAGGAGCUGGGAGACUUGGAUGCUAAUGACGUAUAAUGGUCAUGGGACGAUGUCUGCAGCUUAAGACGAGUUUUCAGCAGACAAUUUGGCAAGCUGUCAACGCCACUCACAGUUGAAGGGGGCGUGGCAGUUAGGGGAUUUUAAGAGGGUGGGAGAAUCGACAACUCGCAGCUAAUGAUUGUCUGCAAGAGGACAUCAAUCAAUCCGAAGUUAAAGCAAAACCACCCUCUCGGGAGAAUUCUCCCUCGUUUAUGUGGUUCUCACAUUAAAU